GUGCUCGCUUCGGCAGCACAUAUACUAAAAUUGGAACGAUACAGAGAAGAUUAGCAUGGCUCCUGCGCAAGGAUGACAUGCAAAGAAUUCUUCU
rnacentral:snRNA from 1 species